rnacentral:misc_RNA from 1 species
AUAGAACAGGUUACUGACCAGGAGUGGUCUUAAAUUAAAUGAUUUGUGAGGCAGCGAGUCGGUCAAGUUUCUGUGGUCCUUGCUUAGAGAUGAUGCAUGCAGUUUUUGGUUUCUUUGAUUGGCUUCUUCAUUUCUAAAUACUACAAAGAUGAUGUUUAAAGGUUAACUGAAACAAAUAGGAAAUACAUUCCUUCAGAUAUCUAUCUGAAUUUGCAUCUCAAAUGAACAUUCA